GGCUGGCUGGCUGGCUGGCUGGCUGGCUGGCUGGCUGGCUGGCUGGCUGGCUGGCUGGCUGGCUGGCUAUGCUUUGACUCGAGAGGCUUUGACGAGAAGAGGCGGUGGACAAGCUUCACUUCAAGUGAGUGUUCAGGCUUACAUAUGAGAGAAACGGCCAGGAAUGAAAAUGAAAUGAUUUCACUACUUCAGCAAGUUGACAACUAGAAGAAUCUGAAGGAAGUCUGCUUCUGGGACCACCCUACCGGUUUGGCUGAUGUCCCCAGGGCCAGUGCUGCUCCAGAAACAUGUGAGGAGCAAUAAGUACUCCCCGAUCGUCGAGAAGAUUCACCUACUUCAUGCAAACCCCCAGUAUGCCUACGUGGUCUUACUUGAUGGGCGGGAGGACACGGUCUCUGUCCGCGACCUGGCACCCGCAGGAGCACCAGACCCCUAACCCAAACACUCCGCGGUGACUAUGAACCCCAUACCCACAAGACACCGCGCACACCAUGCCCUACACAGA